GGGAGGGGGGUCAGCAGGAGUGGGGAGCUAAGGCUAGGGAAGGAGAUGGAAAGAUAGACUAAUGAUAUUUUUGUCUAUUUACUCCUCUGUUAAAAAAACUAACACUGUGGGAUGGGAGGGGUACUUAAAACCCAAUGUUGGGGCAAUGUUGAAAAAAACGCGUUAAGAGGCGUAAAAUCGCGUUUAGCGUAACGUGGCGGUGGUAAAACGCGACAUAGCGCUGUGAAAUAGCGCAGUUAACAAAUAACGUCCUCUGCUUCUUCUCCGGUCCGCUUCUUCUCAGGUCCUCCGCUUCUUCGCCCGCCUGGAUUUUGGGCAUCGUCGCCCGCCUGGAUUUUGGGCUUCGUCGCCCGCUUGGAUUUGGGCUUUCGUCGUCGGAACUUAGGGCUUCGUCGUCGCUGAAAUUAGGGCUUCGUCGUCGGGCUUCGUCGUCGGGCUUCGUCUCAGAUCCACGUCGUCGUCGUCUUCGUUUCAAGUCGUCGUCCUCGUCUUCAUCUCAGGUCCUCGUCGUCGUCGUCUUCGUCUCAGGCCGUCGUCCUCGUAUUCGUCUCAGGUCCUCAUCGUGACGACGACUGAUGAGAGAGAGAGAGGGUUGAUUCGUAGAGAGAGAGAGGAGGGGGGAAGGAGAUGAUGAGGGCAGAAGAGGAUAAGAUCGGCUCUCUUUCUCUCUCUCUUUCUCUCUUUGUUUCUAGAUUAGCGGAUAAGGGUGACUGUGGGUUUUUUUUUGUUCGUUUAUGGGCUGAUUUGCACAUAUACCCUUAACUUAUGUGUAUUUUUAGAUAAGAGGAUAAGGGUGAUUGUGGGUUUUUUUUUCGUUUAUUGGCUGAUUUGCACAUAUACCCUUAAAUUAUGGGUAUUUGUGAAAAUAAUUUUUAAA